rnacentral:rRNA from 1 species
CUCCGGGUCUUUGGGCCAACCUCCCAUCCGUGUCUAUUGUACCCUGUUGCUUCGGCGGGCCCGCCGCUUGUCGGCCGCCGGGGGGGCGCCUCUGCCCCCCGGGCCCGUGCCCGCCGGAGACCCCAACACGAACACUGUCUGAAAGCGUGCAGUCUGAGUUGAUUGAAUGCAAUCAGUUAAAACUUUCAACAAUGGAUCUCUUGGUUCCGGCAUCGAUGAAGAACGCAGCGAAAUGCGAUAACUAAUGUGAAUUGCAGAAUUCAGUGAAUCAUCGAGUCUUUGAACGCACAUUGCGCCCCCUGGUAUUCCGGGGGGCAUGCCUGUCCGAGCGUCAUUGCUGCCCUCAAGCCCGGCUUGUGUGUUGGGUCGCCGUCCCCCUCUCCGGGGGGACGGGCCCGAAAGGCAGCGGCGGCACCGCGUCCGAUCCUCGAGCGUAUGGGGCUUUGUCACAUGCUCUGUAGGAUUGGCCGGCGCCUGCCGACGUUUUCCAACCAUUCUUUCCAGGUUGACCUCGGAUCAGGUAGGGAUACCCGCUGAACUUAAGCAUAUCAAUAAGGCGAGGGGAA